AGUGUACGCUGGCGGUGGGCCUAACACAUGCAAGUCGAACGGCAGCACAGUAAGAGCUUGCUCUUACGGGUGGCGAGUGGCGGACGGGUGAGGAAUACAUCGGAAUCUACUUUUUCGUGGGGGAUAACGUAGGGAAACUUACGCUAAUACCGCAUACGACCUACGGGUGAAAGCAGGGGAUCUUCGGACCUUGCGCGAUUGAAUGAGCCGAUGUCGGAUUAGCUAGUUGGCGGGGUAAAGGCCCACCAAGGCGACGAUCCGUAGCUGGUCUGAGAGGAUGAUCAGCCACACUGGAACUGAGACACGGUCCAGACUCCUACGGGAGGCAGCAGUGGGGAAUAUUGGACAAUGGGCGCAAGCCUGAUCCAGCCAUACCGCGUGGGUGAAGAAGGCCUUCGGGUUGUAAAGCCCUUUUGUUGGGAAAGAAAAGCAGCAGGUUAAUACCCCGCUGUUCUGACGGUACCCAAAGAAUAAGCACCGGCUAACUUCGUG
rnacentral:rRNA from 1 species